CCUACGGGUGGCAGCAGUGGGGAAUAUUGGACAAUGGGGGCAACCCUGAUCCAGCCAUGCCGCGUGUGUGAAGAAGGCCCUCGGGUUGUAAAGCACUUUCAGUGAGGAAGAACGCCUGGUGGUUAAUACCCAUCAGGAAAGACAUCACUCACAGAAGAAGCACCGGCUAACUCCGUGCCAGCAGCCGCGGUAAUACGGAGGGUGCGAGCGUUAAUCGGAAUUACUGGGCGUAAAGCGCGCGUAGGUGGCUUGAUAAGCCGGUUGUGAAAGCCCCGGGCUCAACCUGGGAACGGCAUCCGGAACUGUCAAGCUAGAGUGCAGGAGAGGAAGGUAGAAUUCCCGGUGUAGCGGUGAAAUGCGUAGAGAGCGGGAGGAAUACCAGUGGCGAAGGCGGCCUUCUGGACUGACACUGACACUGAGGUGCGAAAGCGUGGGUAGCAAACAGGAUUAGAUACCCCAGUAGUC
rnacentral:rRNA from 1 species